rnacentral:rRNA from 1 species
CUUUAAAGAUACCAAAAAUACAAAUAAAUCCCACUGUAUCUUUAAAAGUUAGUCUAAAAAGGUACAGCCUUUUAGAAAUGGGUACAACCUUCACUAGAGAGUAAGAUCUAAAAAUACCAUAGUAGGCCUAAAAGCAGCCAUCAAUUAAGAAAGCGUUAAAGCUCAACAACAAUAGUAUUAUUAAUCCCAGCAAUAACAUUAGCCAACUCCUAGAUUUAAUACUGGACUAUUCUAUUACUAAAUAGAAGCAAUAAUGUUAAUAUGAGUAACAAGAAAUAUUUUCUCCUCGCACAAGUUUAAGUCAGUAACUGAUAAUACCCUGACCGUUAACAGUAAAUAAAAAUAACCUAACAAUAAAUGAUUUAUUACUUAUACUGUUAACCCAACACAGGAGUGCACCCAGGAAAGAUUCAAAGAA